AUUGAACGCUGGCGGCAGGCCUAACACAUGCAAGUCGAACGAGUGGCGGACGGGUGAGUAAUGUCUUGGAAACUGCCUGAUGUAGGGGGCUAGCUACUGUAAACGUUAGCUACUACCGCAUACCAUCAUAUGUGCCCAUGUGGGAUUAGCUAGUUGGUGGGGUAACGGCUCACCAAGGCGACGAUCCCCAGCUGGCCUGAGAGGAUGAUCAGCCACACUGGAACUGAGACACGGCCCAGACUCCUACGGGAGGCAGCAGUGGGGAAUCUUCGACAAUGGGCGAAAGUCUGAUCGAGCAAUGCCGCGUGAGUGAAGAAGGUUUUCGGGUUGUAAAGUACUUUUAGCAGAGAGGCGUUAUCUAACCAGGAAGCACCGGCUAACUACGUGCCAGCAGCCGCGGUAAUAC
rnacentral:rRNA from 1 species